rnacentral:rRNA from 1 species
UACGUAGGGUGCGAGCGUUAAUCGGAAUUACUGGGCGUAAAGCGCACGCAGGCGGUCUCUUAAGUUUGGAGUGACAGUUGGUGGCUUAACUGCCAAAGUGCUUCGAAAACUGAGAGACUUGAGGGCUUCAGAGGGACACGGAAUUCCGGGUGGAGUGGUGAAAUGCGUAGAGAUCCGGAGGAACACCAAAGGCGAAGGCAGUGUCCUGGGGAGUACCUGACGCUCAGGUGCGAAAGCCAGGGGAGCGAACGGG